CACCCGUGAUGAUUCGCCAUGCUAAUACCGAGGCGCCGAACAGAGCCGUUGGCUCUGAACCUCGGGUGUCAGUGAGUUAAGCUCACUUCUCGCGGGAAGGCCUGAGGUGC